GGAGAGGGAGAUGGCUGGAUGAGUGGGUGAUAGAGGCGAGGCAGGUGUGGUGAGGCGGAGGAUUGGAGACGAGAACCUACAGAUGACGGCAGACACGGAAGAUUCCACUAACCAGGAGUUGGUGAUCCGAAGCCGUGACUGCAGCGAUCCCGUGCGGCCUGCACCAUCAGGGAAGGACUCUCUCUGGCUUCGCACUGCGCCUACAUUGACCGUUGCCGCCGCUGCUACCGCUACUCGGAGGGGGCACUGCCUCGCAUUGGGCCUUCACUGCCGUCCCGCUAAUACACGUGUCGCCGUCGCAGCUACUGGCACUGAGGGACUUCGCCUCGCAGCGGCCUGGCAAACACCUGCUACACCACCACCACCACUAACUCCACCACCGCAGUCCAGAGAUUCAGCUUCGCAUAGCAGACAUCCUCCUAUUCAACGCUUGCUGCCACUACCACCUCAUUAUGGUGGUGUCACUGUACUUGGAUCUGUUGUCACUACUGAAUAAUAAUGUGUAAAGAAA
rnacentral:misc_RNA from 1 species